rnacentral:tRNA from 1 species
GAGGAUGGUAGAGUGGUCGAUUACGACAGACUUAAAAUCUGUAGGCCCACAAGGGCCCGGGGGUUCGAAUCCCUCUUCUUCCG